GCUGGUGCUGCAGCCGCAUCCAUCUACAGCUACUGCACUGCCAAUGGGGAAUUAAUUAAGUGUUGGCCUGGCCUGGGUGGUAGUGGUGGUGCAUGGUGUCUAUAUUUUAUUUUAUACACUUAUUCUCGAUCAUAUAUAUAUAUAUGUUCCUUCUUCACCUUAGUUAUUGCUUUCCAAUCAUUCUUACAUUUCUUAGUUGGGUUUCGGAUUCCACUUUGAAGCAAGAUAGGACUUGCACUUGCACUUGCACUUGCCUUUGCCUUCAAUCCACUUAUGCUUCUUAUUAGCACCUGACUUACUUGGAAAGUGCAGUUUAUGUAGGACCCCCCCAUUCAAUUCAUUUUCUUUGCUUCAAAAAGAAGGAAUGGGUCCACACCACAGAGUUCCACAAAAAAUGAGAAUUGUGUACAGAGAGAGGUGGGGCAAAUUAAAGAAAUACAGUGGGAUUCUUGGAGGGGUCAAAUGUCGAUAUUGGGAGUGGGGGCCAUACAAGAAACAAAAAAAAAAAAAAAAAAAAACCUACAAUAA